CGAUCAAGGAGUGGCUAGACAAACAAGAGAAAGAGUGUGUGGUUUACGUAGCACUGGGAACGGAGGUGACACCAACUGAAGAUGAACUCACCGAGUUGGCUUUUGGGUUAGAGCUAAGUGGGUUGCCCUUCUUCUGGGCACUGAGGAAGCGGCAUGACGCGGUUGAUUUACCUGAUCGAUUCGAGGAACGAACCAAAGGUCGCGGAAUGGUUUGGAGGUCCUGGGCACCUCAACUCAGGAUAUUGGAUCACGACUCGGUUGGGGGUUUUGUGACUCACUGUGGUUGGAGCUCAGUUAUAGAGGGACUGCAUUUUGGACAAGCCCUUAUCAUGCUGCCCCUGUGGGGGGACCAGGGGGUGAAUGCUAGGACUUUCGAAGAGAUGAAAGUGGGGGUAGAGAUACCAAGAGAUCAAGAAGAAGAACGGCUUUCCAGGAAGUCAGUGGCGGAGACAUUGAGCUUGGUGAUGGUGGAAGAGACGGGAAAAAUUUAUAGAAACAAAGCAAAGGAGAUGAGCAAGUUACUAGGAGACAAGCAUCGACAUCACCGUUAUGUAAGCGAUUUUGUAGAAUAUCUACAAAAACACAGGCCUUGUGUCCAAGGACGAUUGAUUUGAACAUGUAUUUUGGUUUUUAAGAAUGAGAAACACCUCUUCCUUCUCAAAUCACAAAAAUUUCAACAAAGCCGAAGUCUUAAGUUAUAUUCAAACCAUUAUUUCACAUCCAGAUCGUUAAACCCGUGUGGGAUGAAAUCUAUACCAUUAAAUAGGAGCCCGAACAAAUAGAAUACACCACUAGAUCAGGUAGGAGUCCAAUUAAAUAUGAUAUUAUAAAAAGAUAAAAAUAAAUAUAAUUACAAACAAAUAAGACCUUAUAAUGUUACAUGGCAUCAUUUGAUUGAUAAUGUUCAUAUGAUAUUGAAAAAGGACUAUUCUUGAUAUUUUAAUCAAACCCAGAAUUCAUUGUUGUAACAUCCCCACUCACCAAUUAUUGGAAGAGUUCAGCCUCACUUAUUGGCCCAACUAUGCCCGUGUCCCAGCAUGCAAAUACAAAAACUAUUAAUUUCCAUCUUUAAUUGCAUCAUGGGGCUUUUUCCUUGGCCCUGAUCGGUGUCCCUACUCAAGCAGGAUCAUCUCCAUAGAUAUUGCUAUUAUCACGAUUCACUUUACUUUAGGGCCAAAGAUACCUUACAAAAGUAGGUUUUUCCGCUCCGAUAGGUACUACUAAUAGGUCCCUCUAGAUUCCUCAUAUUUGCAGCACAAGAAGCACCCAUUGCCUUCUGCUUUAUUUCACGUGCAACUCCAAAUCUCUAAACUUUGUUCGACUUGAUCUCUAGAGUUUAAGUUACUGUUCCCAUUUAAACAUUGACUUAUUGGUUUGCUACAAUUGUUCGGAUGCUGAGAAAAUAAUGAGAAAAAGAAGAAAAAAUUUUGAACCAUAAAUUUUUCUUUAAGGCUUGAGAAUACAGAAAAUGCACUUUACCUGCAACUCAUGAUACAUGACUUAAUUGAUCUGACUUUAUUUUUGUAAUUUUUUUUUUGGAUUUUUUUUCAUGCAAUUUGUAUAUUUUAAAUUCAAAAAAAUAUUUGUGAAAAAUUGUUAUGUAUACUUGAAAAUAAUUUAUAAUUAUUUAAUUAGUUGCUAAAAAACUAGGACAGGAAAAAUGGAAAACCUAGAAAGACCCCCUAAAUGUUCGAGAAACCAAUUUGGCCAAUCAAAUUCCAUGAUUAGCUAUUUUCAACAAAAAACAUAAAGAGCCAAAGAUUAUUCUUCCUUUUCUUUGAUUUUAUCAUAAACCAAACAAUAGAGAUUUGAGCCAGGAUUGGAGAAGGAAGAAAUAUUAACAACCUCCACUAACUUUUUAUGGAGCAUGAGUUGAGUCGUUGACAUCAACAAAGCUAUGUUUGUUCCAAAAAUUUGGGAGAAAAUGUGAGCAGAUAAGAAAAGUAGAAUAAAAGAAAAUAAAAUAAAUCUAAAAUUAAUAGAUUGUUUUUAUGUUCUAAUUUAAAUUUACUUAACUUAUUUAACUCUUCUAUAUAAAAAUUAAAUAAUUUAAAAAUAGAAGUUUUUCACUAAUUUUAAUUAUAUUCAAUUUUUUUCAUGGAUUUUUCAUAAUAAAACCAAAUAUGGAAAAAUCCAUUUUUCUUAAUAUUCUUUUAUUUCUUUAAUACUUCUAGAAAUCAAACAUAUCCUAAAUCUUUUAUCAAAUUGGCCUUCUCUCUCCGAUCUUUGUAUUAAUUAUAUUCUUAUUCCAAAAUCAUAAAUCUGGUGUUGUUUUGAUAAUAGUAUGAUUGCUUAUUUAGAAUGUCAUAAUUUGUCAUGUGAUUGUAAUUUAGUAAUAUAAAAAUUUUAGAUUUCUAGUCUACUUUCUAAACUUUGUUGCCUAGUUUAAUCAUUUCCUAUCGGGUUAAUUUUAUUGAGAUUCCCUAAGGUUUGGUGUAAAUACACUCAAUCAUCAUUAGUUUCAAAUUUUGUUAGUUAGCACCCUAAAAAUUUAUUUCAUUUAUAAAAUUUAAUUUCUUAAAGGAUUUUAGGUAAAGAUAUUUUAGAUAGGAGUGUUUAAAAAUUCUCUAAAAACUAAAUCUUAUUUUCUGAAGAAUAAAAUUUAUACACGAAAUACAUCUAUAUAUGGUCAUACUAAUUAACAAACUUUAAAGACAUUGGUGACUUAAUGUAUUUAAAUUAAACUUUAAUGAAAUUAACCCAUUUUUUCCUAAUAAUUUAAGACUGUUUUAUAUAUUUAAGCAAUCACCCAUAUUUAACGGUGAUUUAAUUUUUUAUUAUUAGCAUCAGAAUACAAGGGUGGGUGCAUGUAUUGCAUAUUCCCAUAUACCAAAAGAGCACCAAAAAAAAUGAUGAUAAAAGCGAUAAAUGUAUUUUCAUUGAUUAUGGUGAUGUAAUUAAAUGUUAUAAACUGUAUGAUUCAGAAACAGGAAAGUUGAUUGUGAGUAGAGAUGUUCAAUUUCUAGAGAAUGAGAGUUGGACAUGGACCACAUAGUGAGGAAAAAAGAGUUGUCCUUAAAAGAAGACUUUGUGGAAGACAAUAAGAACAGAGGAAUUCUACAAUAGAUGUUUCUACUUCAAAUACACCUUCUUCUAUUAGAAGUUUUCUUAUGCAAACAAUAAAAGGAUAAGAGUUUGAAUCACAAGGUUGCCCAAAACAUUCUCAUAUUAUGCCCACACAUCUAAAGGAUUACAAAGUCAUGAAAGAUAUUGAAAUCACUAAUGAAGGUUUAGUUAACUUUUGUCUAUUUGCAAAUUGUGAUCCUAUUUCAUAUGAAGAAGUAGCAAGUGAUAAAAAGUGGAUUCAAGUAAUAAAUGAAGAAAUUCAAUCGAUAGUAAAGAACAAUACAUGAGAGGUAACUAUUCUUCCACUUGGAAAAAAGCCUAUAAACAGUAAAUGAGUUUAUAAGACAAAAUAUAAACCUAAUGGUAAUGCUAAUUGAUUUAAUGCAAGAUUGGUUGCAAAAGGCUACAAACAAAAGUCAAGUAUUGAUUAUUUUAAAGUUUUUGCAUCAAUUGUUAGAUAGAUACCAUUCGCAUGAUAAUUGCACUUGCAACUCAACAAAUGUGAAAAAUUUACCAAAUGAAUGUGAAGUCAACUUUUCUAAUGGUGUACUUGAAGAAAAGGUUUUUGUUGGACAAUCACCAUGGUAUUUUAAGGAAAGGCAAGAGAAACAGGUCUAUAAACUCAAUAAGGUAUUAUAUGGGUUAAAGUAGGCACCACGUGCUUGGUACACACAAAUUGAUACCUAUUUAUAGCGGGAUGGAUUUCAAAAGAGUCCUUUUGAGCAUACACUUUACAUCAAGUCAAAUUCUAAUGGUGAUGUAAUUAUUGUAUAUCUCUAUGUGGAUGAUUUAGUUUUUAAAUAAAAUUAUCAACAAAAGUUUGAAGAUUUCAAAGAGGCAAUAAAACAACAAUUUGAGAUGACAGAUUUGGGAUUAAUAUUCUAUUUUCUUGAAAUUGAAGUCCAACAAACAAAUGAUUGUUUAUUCUACAAAAGAAAUAUAUUACAGGCGUUUUAAAGCAAUUCAAGAUGAAAUCAUUAUAAUUCGUAUUCCUAUUGCAAAGCAAUUAGAGAUAAAAAAAAAAAAAAAAAAGGAAGACACUGAAGAAUUAACCACAUAUUUCAAUGGACAUAAGUAUUUAUUCUUCAAAAUUCCAUCCAUGUGUUGUUUAUUACACGUUCGAAGAAAUCAAGUCAUACUCUUGUAUGAUUUAAAUACUUCCACACACAUAAACCAACCUCUAGAUCAUGUGAACAAGUGAAUUUAUUUCUUAUUGUUGUAUUGUUUGGCAACUUACACAUGCAUUGUCCAAAUUAAAAAUUGAAACCAAAUUCGAGGGCAGGGCCUUUCCUUUGAAAAAAAAAAAAAGACGAAAAGUGAGCUAGGGUUGAGAUGCAAAGGCUCACCCACUGUGACCACGUAGUCGUGCAUCCUUGGCCGGUGGAUCUCCACACGUAUAUUCCCACUGCCUUUGAACUCAACCGAUAAAACAAAAUGGAUAAUGGAUUUGGUCGGUGCUUUGUGCGCGACUUUUUCAACGAAACUAUUUUAAUACAAUUGAUUUGAUUUUAUGUUUCUGUCAAGAUGAUGACUGCAUGACCAAACAGGAAGGCGGCUGGUUAAAUUUUAGGGGUGACAUAAUUCCUGGAGUUUUACUCUUGAGAAGUUGAUUUUGGCACUAUCAUACACGUGGGGUCUAUUUUUUUUUAUAAUAUGGAAAUUUAAAGUUAAACCGUAACCCUUUGCCUUGUUCUUCCCUUUGAAUUUUCCUCUAGACGUGUGUGGGGGAUCAUGUCACAGAUCAUUUGCACGUUACAUUUUAGAUAUGUGUCACUCUUGCUCUUCUUUGUUGCUUCCCAUAAAAAACUUUGAAAUUAAUUAAUAGUUUAUAUAUAUAUAUAUAUAUUAACUGCGCCAGAAAUUUCUCACUUAAUAUGUAGAUACGGGGAGCAGAUGAGCAAAGAACCCAAGCAUCCUCUGCCAUGGACUAUCCAGAAAAACUUCACAUAGUCAUGUUCCCAUGGCUAGCUUUCGGUCACAUACUCCCAUACUUAGAGCUGUCCAAGCUCAUAGCUCAAAAGGGUCACCGCAUCUCCUUCAUAUCCACCCCCAGAAACAUCGACCGCCUCCCAAAACUACCUCCAAUUUUACAACCUCUUAUCAACUUAAUCAAGCUUCCACUGCCCAAAGUCGACAACCUCCCUGAAAACGCUGAAGCUACCACUGAUCUUCCCUACGAAGAGAUUCCCUACCUCAAGAAGGCAUUCGACGGCCUCCAAGAACCCUUGACCCACUUCCUCAUAAAUUCACAUCCCGACUGGGUAGUUCACGACUUCGCCCCUCACUGGUUGCCGCCUGUCCUGGAUGAGCAUGGGGUUUCACGGUCCUUCUUCUCCAUUUACGGUGCAUCGACCUUAUGUUUCGCCGGAUCCACGUCCAUCAUGCUGGGUAGCGGUGAUCCACGUAAGGAGCUCCAUCAGUUCGCGGUUCCUCCUCCGUGGGUCCCUUUUCCCUCCAACUUGGGUUUGCCUCCGUUCCAGAUGAAGCGAAUCUUAGGCUAUGACCAACCCAACCUUUCUGGAGUUUCAGACUCAUAUCGAAUGGGUUGGGUCAUUUCAGCUUGUGACGUGGUCGCUGUACGAAGCUGUGCAGAGCUUGAAUCUGAAUGGCUGGACCUUCUCAGAGAGCUGUACCACAAACCAGUACUUCCAAUAGGGCUACUGCCUCCUUUGGCGCCUGUUAGCGGAGAGGAAGACUCGUGGAUUCCAAUCCUUGAGUGGCUAGAUAAACAAGAGAAAGCGUCUGUGGUUUACGUGGCACUCGGAAGCGAGGCGACGCCAAGGGAAGAUGAAUUCACUGAGUUGGCUCUUGGGUUAGAGCUAUCAGGGUUGCCCUUCUUUUGGGCAUUGAGGAAGCGGCACGACUCAGUUGAGUUACCAGAUGGUUUCGAGGAUCGAACCAAAGAUCGUGGAGUGGUUUGGAGGACGUGGGCGCCUCAACUCCGGAUAUUGGGUCACGAAUCAGUUGGGGGCUUUGUGACUCACUGUGGUUUGAGUUCCGUUAGAGGGACUGUAUUUUGGACGUGCCCUUAUCAUGUUUCCGCUGUGGGGAGACCAGGGGAUCAUUGCUAAGGCUUUCCAAGAAAUGAAAGUGGGGAUUGAGAUCCCAAGAGAUGAAGAGGAGGGUUGGUUUUCUAGCAAGUCGGUGGCCCAGACAUUGAGCUUGGUGAUGGUGGAAGAGGAAGGAAGGAUUUACAGGGAGAAAGCUAAGGAGUUGAGCAAGCUUUUUGGAGAUAAGGAUCUACAGAAACGUUAUAUAAAUGAUUUUGUUGAAUAUCUCCAAAACCACAGGCGUAAUCGGAAAGAUUGAGUUGCUAUAUUAGAUGCUGCAUCUGUCUUCAAUGAAGAUGUCUUUGGCACUGGAUCGGCGAAUAAUAGAACAAGCUUUCUUCAAUUUUAAAUCACAAAAGUCCAAACCAAAAUCUUGGGAAAGAUUUUUCCAUUUAGCUUUUAUGUAUUCAUGGGCUUGUUUGAAUUUUCCAAAAGAAAAUGUCUAUGUUCACGAUAGAAAAUCUCUCCCGAUCUUGUGUGGUGGCUGAAGUGCCGAGAUGUUCAAAGAUCUCGAAUAUAAAUAAAUGGUUCAUGUACACUUCACAAUUAUGAUCAAUAAUUCAAACAGAUCCUAUUAAGUUAUAAUAGUAUCUUAUUUUUAAAAUUAAAAAUAAAUUCCCAUAAUGGGAAUUAUUGGAUAAAAUUAAAUUUAAUAAAGCAUUAAAUAUAAUGUAAUAUAAUAAUAUAGCCACUCGUAUAUCAUUCACUAUUUAAUUAAAUUUUAACAUAUUUUUAAAAUCUAAAAUUUAAAGAGAGAACUCACAUUUUGCUCAAUCUAUUUUUUUAUCUCUUUUGAUAUAAUUACUAACUUGGAACAUAACAUCUAUUUCAAUCAAGGUUAUGAAAGUUCACAAGAAGCAAAUGCUUAAGUUUCAUGGACUUGUUGAUCUUGUAGUAGUUUAAUGAAAAAGGAAGGGAUUUCAUGGGAAUAUGUUAUUUGGGAUCUUCUUGCCAUGCAAGUUUAAUAUUUUCAAUAAAUUAAAACAUAUCUCAUUGAAAGGUUCUAUGCAUAUGUUGUUUUCAAUACAUUUCUUUAUACAAAGACUCCAUUAAUUUGUUCCUCUUUUGGGACGGUAAACAUUUCUCAUAAUAUGAAGUGAUCAUAAUCAAAUCCAUGUCUAAAUUGAAAUUGAGAUAUUGAUAUAAGUUAUUUCCUUUUGAUUUAGAUAGGUUCAUAUCCCACAAUUAGGUAGCACAAUAAGUAAACUCAUGGUUUUAAAAAUUGGAUCGGACGAGCCGAUCCGAUCGCCGACCAAUCACGGUUUCAGUUAAUUGGGCCAAAAAUAGGUUGAACCGGAAUCAAAUCGGUUGAACUGACGGUUCGACCGGUGAAUCGGACGAACUGGCUAGUUUCGUCCAAACCGGACGGUUCAAUUAAUUUAUUUUUCUAAAAAAAAAAUUAUAGUAUCAAAACGACAUCGUUUUAGAGGAUAUUAAAACACCUUCAACCCUCUAACACGUUGUGACACCAACGCCAGCUCCCACCGGCUGUCUCCUUGGCCGUUACACCGCAUGCCCUCCUGCCCAACCGUCCCGGAGCAAAACCCGCUGCAACCAUUCCCUCUCUCUCUCUCUCUCUCCCUUCUUCUUCUUCUCCUUUGCUGCAAAGCUCCCUACGCCGCAAACCCCCAACCCGCUACAACUAUCCCCCAUCCCCCUCUUCCCCUCCUCCCUCCACUGCAAAGCCCCCUCACGGUGCCGCAAACCCACCUCCCAACGUCAAAGUGCCCCUCCGAAAAACCCGACUAUGUGCACUGUGCCUUCAUAAUUUUAAUGUAUUUUAUUAUUAUUGUUAUGAUAUUNNNNNNNNNNNNNNNNNNNNNNNNNNNNNNNNNNNNNNNNNNNNNNNNNNNNNNNNNNNNNNNNNNNNNNNNNNNNNNNNNNNNNNNNNNNNNNNNNNNNUUUAAUAUUCCAUUUUAACAUAUCCUAAAUCUUUUAUCAAAUUGGCCUUCUCUCUCCAAUUUUUAUAUUUUUUAUAUUCUUAUUCGAAAAUCAUGAAUUUGGUAUUGUUUUAAUAAUAGUAUGAUUACUUAUUUAGAAUAUCAUAAUUUGUCAUGUGAUUGUAAUUUAGUAAUAUAAAAAUUUUAGAUUUCUAGUCUACUUUCUAAACUUUGUUGCCUAGUUUAAUCAUUUCUUGUCGGAUUAAUUUUAUUGAGAUUCCCUAAGAUUUGGUGUAAAUACGAGUUCCAUCACCAUUAGUUUCAAAUUUUGUUAGUUAACACCCUAAAAAUUUAUUUCAUUUAUAAAAGUUAAUUUCUUAGAGGAUUUUAGGUAAAGAUAUUUUAGAUAGGAGUGUUUAAAAAUUUUCUAAAAACUAAAUUUUAUUCUAUGAAGAAUAAAAUUUAUACAUGAAAUACAUUUAUGGUCAUACUAAUUAACCACUGUGACCACGUAGUCAUGCAUCCUUGGCCGGUGGAUCUCCACACGUAUAUUCCCACUGCCGCUUCGAACUCAACCGAUAAAACAAAAUGGAUAAUGGAUUUGGUCGGUGCUUUGUGCGCGACUCUUUCAACGAAACUAUUUUAAUACAAUUGAUUUGAUUUGAUUUUAUGUUUCUGUCAAGAUGAUGACUGCAUGACCAAACAGGAAGGCGGCUGAUUAAAUUUUAGGGGUGGCAUAAUUCCUGGAGUUUUAUUCUUGAGCAGUUGAUUUUGGCACUAUCAUACACGUGGGGUCUUUUUUUUUUUUGAUAAUAUGGAAAUUUAAAGUUAAACCGUAACCCUUUGCCUUGUUCUUCCCUUUGAAUUUUCCUCUAGACGUGUGUGGGGGAUCAUGUCACAGAUCAUUUGCACGUUACAUUUUAGAUAUGUGUCACUCUUGCUCUUCUUUGUUGCUUCCCAUAAAAAAUUUGAAAUUAAUUAAUAGUUUAUAUAUAUAUAACUGCGCCAACAAUUUCUCACUUAAUAUGUAGAUACGGGGAGCAGAUGAGCAAAGAAACCAAGCAUCCUCUGCCAUGGACUAUCCAGAAAAACUUCACAUAGUCAUGUUCCCAUGGCUAGCUUUUGGUCACAUACUCCCAUAUUUAGAGCUGUCCAAGCUCAUAGCUCGAGAGGGUCACCUCAUCUCCUUCAUAUCUACUCCUAGAAACAUCGACCGCCUCCCAAAACUACCUCUAAAUUUACAACCUCUUAUCGAUUUAGUCAAGUUUCCACUGCCCAACAUCGACAACCUCCCUGAAAACGCAGAGGCUACCACUGAUCUUCCCUACGAAAAGAUUCCGUACCUUAAGAAGGCAUUCGACGGCCUCCAGGAGCCCGUGACCCGCUUUCUCGAAACGUCACAUCCCGACUGGGUUAUUCACGACUUCACCCCUCACUGGUUGCCGCCUAUCGCUGCUAAGCAUGGGGUUUCACGGGCCUUCUUCUGUACAUCUAGUGCAACGACCCUAUGUUUCUGUGGACCAACGUCCAUCAUGAUGGAAGGUGGUGAUCCACGUACGGAGCUCCAUCAGUUAGCGACUGCUCCUCCCUGGGUCACUUUCCCAACCAAAGUCGCGUCGCCUCUUUUCUUGUUGAGGAGAAUAUUAGGCAUUCAUCAAGCCGACGUUUCUGGAGUUUCCGACAAAUUCCGCAUGGGGUCGGCCAUUUUGGGUUGUGACGUGUUGGCUAUACGGAGCUGUACAGAACUGGAACCUGAAUGGUUGGACCUCCUCGGUAAGCUUCACCAGAAACCACUAUUUCCAAUAGGGCUACUGCCCCCCUCGGCGCCGGUUAACGGAGACGAUGACUCUUGGCCGCCGAUCAGGGAGUGGCUAGACAAACAAGAGAAAGAGUGUGUGGUUUAUGUAGCACUGGGAACGGAGGUGACACCAACUGAAGAUGAACUCACCGAGUUGGCUUUUGGGUUAGAGCUAAGUGGGUUGCCCUUCUUUUGGGCACUGAGGAAGCGGCAUGACUCGGUUGAUUUACCUGAUGGAUUCGAGGAACGAACCAAAGGUCGUGGAAUGGUUUGGAGGACCUGGGCACCUCAACUCAGGAUAUUGGAUCACGAGUCGGUUGGGGGUUUUGUGAUUCACUGUGGUUGGAGCUCAGUUAUAGAGGGACUGCAUUUUGGACAAGCCCUUACCAUGCUGCCCCUUUGGGGGGACCAGGGGUUGAAUGC
rnacentral:lncRNA from 1 species